CCCUUAGAUGUUCUGGGCCGCACGCGCGCUACACUGAAGAUGGCAACGAGUUUUUCCUUCGCCGAAAGGUGUGGGUAAUCUUUUGAAACAUCGUCGUGCUGGGGAUAGAUCAUUGCAAUUUUUGAUCUUGAACGAGGAAUUCCUAGUAAGCGCGAGUCAUCAGCUCGCGUUGAUUACGUCCCUGCCCUUUGUACACACCGCCCGUCGCUACUACCGAUUGAAUGGUUUAGUGAGGACUCCUGAUUGGCGCCGCCGCCCCGGCAACGGAGCAGCGGACUGCCGAAAAGUUGUUCAAACUUGAUCAUUUAGAGGAAGUAAAAGUCGUAACA
rnacentral:rRNA from 1 species